UUUCGAUACUCAAAUGAUUGAAUCAAAUUAUUUGUUAAAUUAAGCUCAAGAGCAAAGGGGGACCAAAUCCGAUAAAGGGAAGGAAAAAGUAGUCGAAUAGCCAUCGGAAUCGUUCGACAACAUCCGAGAUUUUGCUCGUUAGCGAUCGGAUUCGGGAUCAUAGAAGUUGAAGUCAACCACACUAUCAAAGCCCUUUUUGGUACUCCUUUAGUUGAGUUCGGAUAUGGCAUGUAUAGGACCACCCUCGGUUGUUUUUAAGUACUUGUGAUGUAUAUGUGUACGGCCAUGCGAAAAUGGUUCGUAAAAGUGGAGUAUGGAAUUUGACCAUAUGUGGUUUGUAAUUAUAUUUGGUUUCAUGAUGUGAUUAUGGUUUGGAAUGAGAGAGUUGGUCACAUGAUCAGCCAUUGGAAUGGCUAAAUAUGAUCACAUGUGGACCUAAGUAUGACUAGACUAUAGUUGGUCCAUGGGAACUACAAUAUAGGUAAAGCCUACCUUAAAAACAGAGGCUGCCAGCUGCAGUGACGUGGAUGUGAAAAAUCACCAAAAUUUGUAGGAAUGGUGUUAAAUAGUGAAUAAAUUAUGUGAUCGAA